GGUAUGGGAUGAGCUUGCGUCCGAUUAGCUAGUUGGCGGGGCAACGGCCCACCAAGGUGACGAUCGGUAGCCGGCCUGAGAGGGUGAUCGGCCACAUUGGGACUGAGAUACGGCCCAGACUCCUACGGGAGGCAGCAGUAGGGAAUAUUGCACAAUGGGGGAAACCCUGAUGCAGCAACGCCACGUGUGGGAAGAAGCAUUUCGGUGUGUAAACCACUGUCGUGAGGGAAUAAGGCAUUUUUUCGGAGAUGUUGAAUGUACCUCGAGAGGAAGCACCGGCAAACUUCGUGCCAGCAGCCGCGGUAAUACGAGGGGGUGCAAGCGUUGUUCGGAAUCACUGGGCGUAAAGGGAGCGCAGGCGGAAGCUCAAGCGGAUUGUACAAUACCGGGGCCCAACCCCGGACCUGCAGUCCGAACUGGGUUUCUUGGAUAGUUCAGGGGCAGGC
rnacentral:rRNA from 1 species